rnacentral:rRNA from 1 species
AUACGUAGGGUGCAAGCGUUAAUCGGAAUUACUGGGCGUAAAGCGUGCGCAGGCGGUUUUGUAAGACAGUGGUGAAAUCCCCGGGCUCAACCUGGGAACUGCCAUUGUGACUGCAAGGCUGGGGUGCGGCAGAGGGGGAUGGAAUUCCGCGUGUAGCAGUGAAAUGCGUAGAUAUGCGGAGGAACACCGAUGGCGAAGGCAAUCCCCUGGGCCUGCACUGACGCUCAUGCACGAAAGCGUGGGGAGCAAACAGGAUUAGAUACCCUGGUAGUCCACGCCCUAAACGAUGUCAACUGGUUGUUGGGGAUUUAUUUUCUCAGUAACGAAGCUAACGCGUGAAGUUGACCGCCUGGGGAGUACGGCCGCAAGGUUAAAACUCAAAGGAAUUGACGGGG